rfam:Schistosoma haematobium scaffold1541_4, whole genome shotgun sequence.
AUCCACCUUAAGAGUCCCAAAUAGGAUGAAAUGCGCGUCCUAGAU